UACGUAGGGUGCAAGCGUUGUCCGGAAUUAUUGGGCGUAAAGAGCUCGUAGGCGGUCUGUCGCGUCGAAUGUGAAAAUCCGGGGCUCAACUCCGGACCUGCAUUCGAUACGGGCAGACUAGAGUUCGGUAGGGGAGACUGGAAUUCCUGGUGUAGCGGUGAAAUGCGCAGAUAUCAGGAGGAACACCGGUGGCGAAGGCGGGUCUCUGGGCCGAUACUGACGCUGAGGAGCGAAAGCGUGGGGAGCGAACAGG
rnacentral:rRNA from 1 species